rnacentral:lncRNA from 7 species
CCUUUUAUUCAGCAGGAGCUCGUCCUCCUGUCGCCUGAGUUACACUCCGGAGGGCAGAGCUGGAAGUCGUAUCAGAAACGAAAUACAAAACGUGUUAUGGGACAUGGAGGGGAUCGUGGAGAGGGCACGGACGUGGCGCUGGGUCCUGGAUUCAGAGCAGACAUUUUCACCUUGGCUGUCAGGCUGGAAGAGUCAACCCUCUGAGUAGACUUCUCACCACGCUGGCAUGGAGAGCCCUGGUCUCAGUUGCAGCACAAGGCAGAGGAGCACAGCAGCAUUUUGGGAUCUGCACCCCGUGCAAUGCAGCUGAACAAGAGGAGCAACAUAAAAGGCAGCAGACUGCAAAGCUGUUAGCAUUCUGCCUGCACGCAGCUAAAGCACAGUGCUAGAUCUACUAUUAUAAUUCUCUGCUAAUUACAUAGUGUUGAUUGUAUAACUACUUAGCAGUUCCUCCUCUUUUAAUGAGCGCAGCUGUUUUCUGUCCAGCUUCAAUGGGGGAAAUUUCCCAUCUCUAAUUUAAAAGUAAUACUCUCAAAAUUCCAGAGGGCUCCUGGGCUCAUGCUGCUUAAUAUGUUUUAAUGCUCAUGGUGCCUACAGACUUUCUCCAGCCUGGAGAGCACUUAGGGCCAUUCCCCUCAUCCUAUUAAAUGAAUCUUUUUAACUAAUGAACUCUAUUAAUAGAGUUAAAAACCUGAUGGAGCCCUCACCGUGUUGUGAAGAAAACCUUUUUAUUGAGGUAGACUGACACAAGCUGUCAUGUACCUGUGCUAAUUUGGAUCAAUGCACUACAUUCAGUUUUUUUCUGACCUGGCGCUUUUUAGAGAGUCAGAUAGCAGUUAGUUUUCUUCUGAAAAGUGAUAUGAGCAUGUUUGUUUGCACUGAGGGAGCUGUGAGUUACCACUUUUAAGGAGACACAGGUGUUAACGUCAGCUGGAGAGCAGAGAGGUCGAUGUGCUGGAGCAUGAAAGAAAAGUAAUGGGCGAAUGGCAGCAAUAUGCUGGACCGUGACCUUCAGGUCAUUGCUUGCCCCCCAGGUACAUGGCAAGCAAAACUGCGUAGGUGACAAUAACAGCUUAAAGCACACGAUGAGAGCCUGUUCCAGCUCUACAUGAUGCAGUAGCUAAACAGACGUUUUGGAUGUGGACAGUUUUUUCUUUGGAAAACAUGUUUUUGUCAGAAUCGAAACAUUUCCCAGGAAGAUACAGGCUUAGAUAAAGUUUCAGGUGGAGGUAUUGUCAAAACAAAUCACUCCAGCUUUGCAGCUUGCUUUUCACCAAUUCAAAUGUAUUUCACUAACAUUUUUAGCACUUCUAAUUUUUCACAUAUAUCAUAAUGUGCUGACAUGUUUUGACACAGUGAUUGUGGUCUGAACAGAAUGCACAAGAGCGUUCAAUUGGAAAAUAAGUCUUCUAGUCUAUAGGUAAAUGUGAAUGUGUGGUGUGGAAUGAGGAAGUGAUGGAACCUGAUCAGGAAGGGUGUAGCAAGAAUGAAGCUUUAUAUCCCAGCUCUUCUACCUGAAUGGAGGCCCGGUACUUAGGCUUGAUAGUUCCCCAUUCUAAUCCCUGUCGACAUCUAGGACUUGCUCAGUCUGUUAGUGAUUGCAGACCAUAUCAGUAGUUCAAUAAACGAUAAAUACUUGAGCAAAUGAUUAAGCAUUCUGUGGAGCUUCAAGUCGACUGUAACCCCCUACAAUAACUGCUGUUGAUGUGCCCUUAAAGCACUACUCUCAUCUGUAACAGCCAUUAAUUAUUUAUUCUCUCUUUAUAGGAGUUGACCUUACUAUAAAUCGAGAUUGUCUGAUCUGCUAUUGAGGGCAAAGACUGCAUUCUUAGAAAGGUGAUGAUUUAUGUAGUAGAUGCUCUUCUUAUGCUUUAUUGUAAAUACUGUGUGGAGAAAUAUGUCUCUUUAGCUCGAGUGUCCUUUUGUUGUUUCCUUAGCAUGCUUGAUUGUAAACAUACAUCAAGUUGUUUCCCUCAGGGGGCCCUGUUCAGAUGCAUCUUGAGUUACAUUAUGGUAAUAAUGUUCAAUCUUUGCAUUAAUAAUUACAACAAAUGUCUCCUGU